UACGUAGGGGGCGAGCGUUGUCCGGAAUUACUGGGCGUAAAGAGCACGUAGGCGGCUAGAUAAGUCAGAUGUGAAAAACCUGGGCUUAACCGAGGGUAUGCAUCUGAAACUAUGUAGCUUGAGUCAAGGAGAGGAGAGCGGAAUUCCUGGUGUAGCGGUGAAAUGCGUAGAGAUCAGGGAGAAUACCAGUGGCAUAAGCGGCUCUCUGGACUUGAACUGACGCUGAGGUGCGAAAGCGUGGGGAGCAAACAGG
rnacentral:rRNA from 1 species